AAGGAUCAUUAUUGUAGGGGCCUUUUGGCCCAUUACGAGAAGCAACCCUUGUCUUUUUUGUGCACCGAUCGUUUCCUCGGCAGCUUUGCCUGCCAACGAGGACCCCCCAAAAACCUUUUGCAAUCCUAGUAUAACGUUCUGAAAACAAACAAUAUUAAAACUUUCAACAAUGGAUCUCUUGGCUCUG
rnacentral:misc_RNA from 1 species